rnacentral:rRNA from 1 species
AUUGAACGCUGGCGGCAGGCUUUACACAUGCAAGUCGAACGGUAGAGGGGGCAACCCCUCGAGAGUGGCGAACGGGUGAGUAAUAUAUCGGAACGUGCCCAGUCGUGGGGGAUAACGUAGCGAAAGUUACGCUAAUACCGCAUACGAUCUAAGGAGGAAAGCGGGGGAUCGCAAGACCUCGCGCGAUUGGAGCGGCCGAUAUCAGAUUAGGUAGUUGGUGGGGUAAAGGCUCACCAAGCCAACGAUCUGUAGCUGGUCUGAGAGGACGACCAGCCACACUGGAACUGAGACACGGUCCAGACUCCUACGGGAGGCAGCAGUGGGGAAUUUUGGACAAUGGACGCAAGUCUGAUCCAGCCAUUCCGCGUGCAGGAUGAAGGCCCUCGGGUUGUAAACUGCUUUUGUACGGAACGAAAAGGUCUCUCUUAAUACGGGGGGCUCAUGACGGUACCGUAAGAAUAAGCACCGGCUAACUACGUGCCAGCCGCCGCCGUAA